UCGAGAGGCACACCAACACCAGCAGAUGAGCCUCCGUUUAAUACUUGGGAUAUUAUAACAGUAAGUUAUAGCUCCAGAAGUCAGUCACCAGCAGCAGAUGUCACACAGUUAUAAAAUGGGAAACUUGUAGAAUAAGCUCCAGAAGUCAGCAGCAGCAGACGUCACACAGCCAUAAUGUGAGAAGCUUGAAGAAUAAUGUGUUAUGGCUCCGAUAGUCUUCCAGCAGCAGCAAAUGUUACACAGUCCUAUAGCGGCAAACUUGAAGUAUAAGGUAAUAGUGUUUUGCAUACAAUGGCAAACUUGACCUUUCGCUUAAA